rnacentral:lncRNA from 1 species
CUCAACCGAAUUCGAUAGCCUAUAAUUUAAUACACAAUUAUUCACACAUACAAGCCCAUCUUUAAUUAAAAAUCCUUACAAUGAGAAGCACAAUAAUAGAUAAAAGCUUGGCCAAAUUGGCAGCACAGGCUAUUGGAAAAAAUAGAUAUGGAACAAAUGCAGUCGCCAACUCUAUCCCCAACUUCCAAAUGCAUUAAAAGAUUUCCAACAAUCAGAAGUUGGGUGAGCGAUACCAUCAGAAGAUAAGAAAGUUAUAUUUGUAGUGUUUCCAACAAAAUAAAUUGUGCUAAGUAAUGAUUCGGCACCAUAAAUAUAGUUAAUAACUUCAAUGCUCUCCAAGCUAUGUAUAGGACAUUACUAAAUGUAAUACCAACAAGAAAAGCUUUAGCGACUAUGUAGGACCUUAUAAAUGUCAUCAUCCCUUACACUACCAAGACUAGUAGUAGAGCCAGUACCGGUGACGGGGCUCCGCAAUGCGUGCUGGCUUUGUUGGAACCUAUAGUCGUCGCGUCGCCAUGGACAAAGCUUGAAGGUUAAGGUUGAAACGCAAGUGCAGUUUAGCGAAAGAAUGUGAGUGAUGUUGAAGAUGAACAAAAGUGAUUUGGGCCAAAAUUUUUUAACCUUUUUCUUUUGGGUUCUUGUUUAAAAUAUAAAAUAUAAUUAGGCCCAAAUACUCAAUCCAAGAUGCAAAGCCUGUUUGGCUUGCUGGUUUUAUUCAAUUCGUAAAUUAAACGCAUAAAAUCACAUAUGACUCGAUAGUUCAAACCCGAUAUCAAAUAAUUUCAUCCAAUUCUAAUUUCCAAACCUUGUUUUUCUCUAUCGACACUCAAGCUGAGCCACUGGCCACUGUAGCACUAUACCACCACUGUAUCACUAGUAACUAAUUCCAUUCCACUCGUGAUGGUGGGACAAGAGUGGUGAGCCUCCUGCCUCUCUUCAUUUUUUUUUCCUUUUUUCUUUUUUUUUUUUUGGUUUUUGCUCAUCUAGUUCGUUUAUUGAUUUAUUAAUUAUGAGUGAUCAGUUAAAAUAAUCAGUUAUGAUUUAUGAUUUUAUGUUCUAUGAGUAUUUAUUGUGAGUCUGUGACUUUGUGAGUUGAGAGCUUGCUAAUAGUAUUUACGAAAAUUGAAGACUUCGUGAGUUUGAGGAUAUGUGAUGAAUAUGUGGACUAUGAAAUUCAUGAAAAUUGAGAAUUUUGUGAAAAUUGGGGAUUUUUGGAAAUAAGAACUGUCAGCAUUUGUAGACUUAUGCAAUCUAUUAGUAUUUGUGAAAUUUGGUAAUUUUGGAAAUGGAAACUUGAUGAUUGUUAAUAUGUGAUUUACG